UAUUAAAACAUUAUCGAGUUAAACAUAGAUAUUAUGGGACUAAUAAUCGUUUUCCUUGCGUGUAUUUAAACUGCCCAUGCACUUUUAGAACAUGGAAUGCACUUAUAAUUCAUUUGCAUAGAAUUCAUGUGACUGGUUUUAGUCAUCAAUCAGAAAGCUGUAUAUUUAAGUGCCACUUGUGUGCUUGUAAGGAUCUUGUCUCUGAAAGAGAUUACUGGUCUCAUAUUAAUGCACACCUAAAGAAAAACGAAGUUGUAACUUGCAUGUUUUUAGAUUGUAAUUUUCAGACGAACAUCUAUGGCACAUUUAAAUCGCACAAAAGCAGAAUCCACAAUUCUUAUACAUUAACAAAUUUUAAACCAGAAAUUGUGACCCCAUCCACGUUUUCCUUGAAAUCUGUGGAAAAUGCUUCAGGUGAUGACAUACGUGAACCCUACUCUGAUCUACAGCCAGAUUGUAUUUCUAAUGCCCCAAAGGAUUUUUCUAAUGAAAUUGAACACUCAUUUGCAGAAGCUUUGUUAAAGUUAGAACAUUUUAUCCAUGUACCAAGCACCGCGAUUAAUGAUUUCUUGCUAGAGCUUUACCACUUAACUGGCGCUCUCUUGACUUCCCAUAUUAAUGGGGUUCUGGUUGAGAUUUUUCAAAAGCACAAGCUUAAGGUUGACAGAGGAGUCAUAGAGGAAAUAACCACUUCUCUGUGCACAGGCAGUCCAAUAAAUAAAGCCAUAGAGAAGGGUGGUCCUUUAAGUUUUGCAUAUCAGCGUAAGCAGUAUUACAAGGCAAACUUUAAUGUUGUCGAACCAUUAGAAUACAUUUUGGAUGCUAAAGAGAACAAAACCUUUCAAUAUGUCCCCAUUCUUAAAUCACUACAGGAGUUGUUGAGUAGGAGGGAUAUUGUGGACAAGAUUUAUAACGAAACUCAAAGGGAAACUGAGACAGCAAACAAAAUUGUGUACAAAUCUUUUAGGGAUGGUCUUUAUUUUAGGCAAAACAGUUUCUUCUCAGGGCAAGACUUAAGGCUUUCUAUUGGUUUGUAUGUUGAUGACUUUGAGGUCUGCAACCCUCUAGGCACCUCCCGUAAAACCCACAAACUCUGUGCUGUAUAUUGGGUGCUGAAUAACCUACCCCCAGGGUCUCAUUCCUCUUUGUCCUCCAUUUACUUAGCUAUUUUGUGCAAAACGGACAACGUUAAGUUCUAUGGCUAUGACAAGGUUUUAGAACCACUUCUACAUGAUCUUAGGUGUUUGGAAAUUGAUGGAAUUUUUGUCCCACAUCUAGGGAGAUCACUGAAGGGUACAGUUCAGACUGUUGCUGCAGACAAUUUAGGAGCUCAUGGAAUAGCGGGCUUUGUUGAGAAUUUUACCGGCCCCUAUUUUUGUCGUUUUUGUACAGCAUCAGUUUCAGAUGUUGUAUCACAUGAGGUUCGAUCAGGAGCUUUCAAACUCAGAACAAAAGAAAUACAUGAGACUCAAGUGAGAGCAGCCCUGGAUAGUGGCAGUAGCUGUGUUGGAGUUAAAAGAGCUUGUCCUUUGUCUAAAACACUUUCACAUUUUCAUGUUGUCAGUGGCUACCCUCCUGACAUUGCCCAUGAUCUCUUUGAAGGUAUUGUGCCUGUUGAAAUAGCACACUGUCUCAAAUUACUGUUAUCAAAGAAAUACAUCACCUUAGAUGAAAUUAACAAUUUCAUUCUACAUUUCCCAUACAAGUGGACAGACAAAACAAAUAAUCCUCAUGUUUUGCCACAAAAUUUCUUCAGCAAAAAAACUAUAGGUGGUAAUGCCCAUGAAAACUGGAGCUUGUUAAGAUUGCUCCCAUUUCUAAUUGGGCCCAAGAUUCCUGAGAAUGAUCCAGUAUGGCAGGUCUUGUUGGACCUAAAGCAGAUUGUUGAGCUUGUGGUUUCCCCGGUCCACAAUGACGAGUCUAUUGCAUUCCUGGAGACCAGAAUUUCAGAUCAUAGACAACGAUAUCAAGAGAUGUUUCUAAAUGAAAGACUGUUGCCCAAACACCAUUAUUUAGAACAUUACCCGCAACUAAUUAGGUUGUUUGGGCCUCUCGUGAGACUUUGGACCAUCAGGUUUGAGUUUUUUUUUAAACACACAAGUUUUUUUAAAAUGUGCCCCUCUCUCUGGCAGUGAAACAUCAGUUUAUGAUCGGGUACCACUUGUCAUCCCCAAGUAUUGAUAAACCAUUUCUGGAUCUCUCAGAUGCAUCUACUGUCUCAUUAGAUUUUUUGAAAAAAGAGCUAGUACAAGCUUUUAAACAGAGAGAUCCUGAUCUAUCUGAAAUAAACCUGGCAAAAAAUGUAUGGAGCAAGGGAAUAAACUACAGAACAGGCAUGGUAGUUGAUCAUGGGACUGAAGGUGGCUUGCCUGAGUUUGGAGAAAUCUGUCAAAUAUGUAUUUGGCAUCAGAGACUCUUUUUUGUUUUUAAGCUACUGUGUGGAUGGUAUAGUGAACAUUACGGAGCCUUUGAGCUGACUCCAUCUCCGGCACGAGAACUUGCUCUUGUGGAAGUCUGUGAACUGGUUGAUGAGUAUCCCUUAACUGCCUAUUUGGUUAGGUCUGUGCGAAUGGUGACAUUGAAGAGAUCAAUCUGUGUCUGAGGUAAGUUAACAAAUAAAAUGCUCUUUGGACAGGUACACUAGCCGUAAAAAGGAGGGUACAUUCUCUUUCAUUUCUACAUAUGUUAAUAGUUAUACUUCCUUCAUGGAACAAGGUAAAAACACCUGCAUCCUUACAAUCACCAAACUGCCAGAAGUUCAACUUUUGAUGGUGUAAUGUUAAAAAAAGAGGUUAAAUAAUUAAAUAUUUCAUAUUUCAGAUGAUAAAUAAUAAGUAAAAUACAAAUUCUAUAAGAAAAUUUAAAAGGAUGGAGGUUGAGGGUACAUACACUGAUUUGCCACAAUAUAUGUGGACGCUGAUCAGUCAUAAUGUUAAAACCACCUGCCAAAUAUUGUUUGUCUGCCUAUACUGCCAAAACAGCUGACUAUUAUGGUGUUCUGUGAUAUCUGACGCCAGGAUGUUAGCGAUCGUCGUCGUUCUUUCGGCUGCUCCCGGCAAGGGGUCGCCACAGCAGAAUACCCAGUCCGCACUACAACUUGGCACAGGUUUUACGCCGGAUGCCCUUCCUGACGCAACCCUCCCAUUUAAUCCGGGCUUGGGACCGGCACUGCAUCCAGUGGCUGGGGUUUGGGCUGUAUGGAUCAGACUUGUUCGUCCAGCACAUCCCAGAUUGAGAUCUGGGAAAUUUGGAGGACAAGUGAAAAACCUUGAACUCUGUCAUGUUCUUCAAACUGUUUCUGAACAAUGUUUUUAGAGUGUCAGGUGUAUUAUCUUGCUGAAAGAGGCCACUUCCAUUAGGAAAUACUGUUGCCAUAAAGGGGUGUAACUUGGUCUGCAGCAAUGUUUAGCUUGCACUGUUUAGGUACACUGCUGAUCCCUGAUCCAAAGCUGAGGUCUGAUAUACUAGAAGGGUUGAUUCAGGAAAUUGUUAAGCACAAAGUGUAUGUCUUAGACAGGGAGUUUGACCAAGUUGCAGAGGCACUCAUUAUGAGGCAUCCAUGUUUACAAGAGAAAGGCUCACCCACUGGCUAUGGGGGAUGGAAGACUAGUCUUAAAUACAAGCUGUCCAACUAUCGCACACAUCUUCGGAAAGUAGGAUGUCCUGAAGUAUGUGUAAAUGCUUUGGCUCAUAAACCAGAUGGGAAACGUUGUCCUGCCUUUGACAUUAAAAAACCAAAGAGAGGUGAAGUGGCUUACUGCCCCUCUUUUCCCCUUGGAGAAAGCUACCAGUCUUUGGAGAAGAUGAGGGUGGAGCUCCUUUCAGAUAUCAAGAAGCGUAAUAACAGAGAUACAGUUAGGGCCAAAAUGGAAAAAACAUUUGCAUUAAGAAGACAAGAAAUAAUACGUGAUGCUCCCAUGAUCACAGAAGUACAAGAGAGAUGGCCAGCUCUCUUUAAUGGAAUGGAGAUAAACGCAGAAUUCAAGCGCAUCACAACCAUGUCUCUUCAGUCAAAGUUUCAGUCACAGCUUGACCUACACUCUGCAGACCUUCUAAGGGUGUUUGGAAAGCGAUCGGGACAGCAGGGCAAGAAGCUUAAAAACAUGUCUACCAUG